rnacentral:rRNA from 1 species
GUAAAAAGUAGAAUAAUAGAUUUGAAAUAUUUAUUAUAUAGAUUUAAAGAGAUAAUCAUGGAGUAUAAUAAUUAAAUUUAAUAAAUUUAAUAUAACUAUUAAUAGAAUUAGGUUACUAAUAAAUUAAUAACAAUUAAUUUUAAAACCUAAAGGUAAACCUUUAUAUUAAUAAUGUUAUUUUUUAUUAUUUUUAUAAUAAGAAUAAUUAUUAAUAAUAAUAAACUAAGUGAACUGAAACAUCUAAGUAACUUAAGGAUAAUAAAUCAACAGAGAUAUUAUGAGUAUUGGUGAGAGAAAAUAAUAAAGGUCUAAUAAGUAUUAUGUGAAAAAAAUGUAAGAAAAUAGGAUAACAAAUUCUAAGACUAAAUACUAUUAAUAAGUAUAGUAAGUACCGUAAGGGAAAGUAUGAAAAUGAUUAUUUUAUAAGCAAUCAUGAAUAUAUUAUAUUAUAUUAAUGAUGUACCUUUUGUAUAAUGGGUCAGCAAGUAAUUAAUAUUAGUAAAACAAUAAGUUAUAAAUAAAUAGAAUAAUAUAUAUAUAUAAAAAAAUAUAUUAAAAUAUUUAAUUAAUAUUAAUUGACCCGAAAGCAAACGAUCUAACUAUGAUAAGAUGGAUAAACGAUCGAACAGGUUGAUGUUGCAAUAUCAUCUGAUUAAUUGUGGUUAGUAGUGAAAGACAAAUCUGGUUUGCAGAUAGCUGGUUUUCUAUGAAAUAUAUGUAAGUAUAGCCUUUAUAAAUAAUAAUUAUUAUAUAAUAUUAUAUAAAUAUUAUAUAAAGAAUGGUACAGCAAUUAAUAUAUAUUAGGGAACUAUUAAAGUUUUAUUAAUAAUAUUAAAUCUCGAAAUAUUUAAUUAUAUAUAAUAAAGAGUCAGAUUAUGUGCGAUAAGGUAAAUAAUCUAAAGGGAAACAGCCCAGAUUAAGAUAUAAAGUUCCUAAUAAAUAAUAAGUGAAAUAAAUAUUAAAAUAUUAUAAUAUAAUCAGUUAAUGGGUUUGACAAUAACCAUUUUUUAAUGAACAUGUAACAAUGCACUGAUUUAUAAUAAAUAAAAAAAAUAAUAUUUAAAAUCAAAUAUAUAUAUAUUUGUUAAUAGAUAAUAUACGGAUCUUAAUAAUAAGAAUUAUUUAAUUCCUAAUAUGGAAUAUUAUAUUUUUAUAAUAAUAAUAAAAAUAUAAAUACUGAAUAUCUAAAUAUUAUUAUUACUUUUUUUUUUAAUAAUAAUAAUAUGGUAAUAGAACAUUUAAUGAUAAUAUAUAUUAGUUAUUAAUUAAUAUAUGUAUUAAUUAAAUAGAGAAUGCUGACAUGAGUAACGAAAAAAAGGUAUAAACCUUUUCACCUAAAACAUAAGGUUUAACUAUAAAAGUACGGCCCCUAAUUAAAUUAUAUAAGAAUAUAAAUAUAUUUAAGAUGGGAUAAUCUAUAUUAAUAAAAAUUUAUCUUAAAAUAUAUAUAUUAUUAAUAAUUAUAUUAAUUAAUUAAUAAUAUAUAUAAUUAUAUUAUAUAUUAUAUUUUUAUAUAUAAUAUAUAUAAUAUAAACUAAUAAAGAUCAGGAAAUAAUUAAUGUAUACCGUAAUGUAGACCGACUCAGGUAUGUAAGUAGAGAAUAUGAAGGUGAAUUAGAUAAUUAAAGGGAAGGAACUCGGCAAAGAUAGCUCAUAAGUUAGUCAAUAAAGAGUAAUAAGAACAAAGUUGUACAACUGUUUACUAAAAACACCGCACUUUGCAGAAACGAUAAGUUUAAGUAUAAGGUGUGAACUCUGCUCCAUGCUUAAUAUAUAAAUAAAAUUAUUUAACGAUAAUUUUAUUAAAUUUAGGUAAAUAGCAGCCUUAUUAUGAGGGUUAUAAUGUAGCGAAAUUCCUUGGCCUAUAAUUGAGGUCCCGCAUGAAUGACGUAAUGAUACAACAACUGUCUCCCCUUUAAGCUAAGUGAAAUUGAAAUCGUAGUGAAGAUGCUAUGUACCUUCAGCAAGACGGAAAGACCCUAUGCAGCUUUACUGUAAUUAGAUAGAUCGAAUUAUUGUUUAUUAUAUUCAGCAUAUUAAGUAAUCCUAUUAUUAGGUAAUCGUUUAGAUAUUAAUGAGAUACUUAUUAUAAUAUAAUGAUAAUUCUAAUCUUAUAAAUAAUUAUUAUUAUUAUUAUUAAUAAUAAUAAUAUGCUUUCAAGCAUAGUGAUAAAACAUAUUUAUAUGAUAAUCACUUUACUUAAUAGAUAUAAUUCUUAAGUAAUAUAUAAUAUAUAUUAUAUAUAUAUUAUAUAUAAUAUAAGAGACAAUCUCUAAUUGGUAGUUUUGAUGGGGCGUCAUUAUCAGCAAAAGUAUCUGAAUAAGUCCAUAAAUAAAUAUAUAAAAUUAUUGAAUAAAAAAAAUAAUAUAUAUUAUAUAUAUUAAUUAUAAAUUGAAAUAUGUUUAUAUAAAUUUAUAUUUAUUGAAUAUAUUUUAGUAAUAGAUAAAAAUAUGUACAGUAAAAUUGUAAGGAAAACAAUAAUAACUUUCUCCUCUCUCGGUGGGGGUUCACACCUAUUUUUAAUAGGUGUGAACCCCUCUUCGGGGUUCCGGUUCCCUUUCGGGUCCCGGAACUUAAAUAAAAAUGGAAAGAAUUAAAUUAAUAUAAUGGUAUAACUGUGCGAUAAUUGUAACACAAACGAGUGAAACAAGUACGUAAGUAUGGCAUAAUGAACAAAUAACACUGAUUGUAAAGGUUAUUGAUAACGAAUAAAAGUUACGCUAGGGAUAACAGGGUAAUAUAGCGAAAGAGUAGAUAUUGUAAGCUAUGUUUGCCACCUCGAUGUCGACUCAACAUUUCCUCUUGGUUGUAAAAGCUAAGAAGGGUUUGACUGUUCGUCAAUUAAAAUGUUACGUGAGUUGGGUUAAAUACGAUGUGAAUCAGUAUGGUUCCUAUCUGCUGAAGGAAAUAUUAUCAAAUUAAAUCUCAUUAUUAGUACGCAAGGACCAUAAUGAAUCAACCCAUGGUGUAUCUAUUGAUAAUAAUAUAAUAUAUUUUAUAAAAAUAAUACUUUAUUAAUAUAUUAUCUAUAUUAGUUUAUAUUUUAAUUAUAUAUUAUCAUAGUAGAUAAGCUAAGUUGAUAAUAAAUAAAUAUUGAAUACAUAUUAAAUAUGAAGUUGUUUUAAUAAGAUAAUUAAUCUGAUAAUUUUAUACUAAAAUUAAUAAUUAUAGGUUUUAUAUAUUAUUUAUAAAUAUAAUAUAAUAAUUAUUAUUAUUAAUAAAAAAAAUAUUAAUUAUAAUAUUAAUAAAAUACUAAUUUAUCAGUUAUCUAUAUAAUAUCUAAUCUAUUAUUCUAUAUACU